GCGUGCGGGGUGACGGCCUUCGGGUGUAACCGCUUUCAGCAGGGAAGAAGCGAGAGUGACGGUACCUGCAGAAGAAGCGCCGGCUAACUACGUGCCAGCAGCCGCGGUAAUACGUAGGGCGCGAGCGUUAUCCGGAAUUAUUGGGCGUAAAGAGCUCGUAGGCGGUUUGUCACGUCUGCUGGGAAAGCCCGAGGCUCAACCUCGGGUGUGCAGUGGGUACGGGCAGACUAGAGUGCAGUAGGGGAGACUGGAAUUCCUGGUGUAGCGGUGAAAUGCGCAGAUAUCAGGAGGAACACCGAUGGCGAAGGCAGGUCUCUGGGCUGUUACUGACGCUGAGGAGCGAAAGCAUGGGGAGCGAACAGGAUUAGAUACCCUGGUAGUCCAUGCCGUAAACGUUGGGCACUAGGUGUGGGGGACAUUCCACGUUUUCCGCGCCGUAGCUAACGCAUUAAGUGCCCCGCCUGGGGAGUACGGCCGCAAGGCUAAAACUCAAAGGAAUUGACGGGGGCCCGCACAAGCGGCGGAGCAUGCGGAUUAAUUCGAUGCAACGCGAAGAACCUUACCAAGGCUUGACAUGGACCGGAUCGCUGCAGAGAUGCAGUUUCCCUUCGGGGUCGGUUCACAGGUGGUGCAUGGUUGUCGUCAGCUCGUGUCGUGAGAUGUUGGGUUAAGUCCCGCAACGAGCGCAACCCCUAUCCUAUGUUGCCAGCACGUCAUGGUGGGGACUCAUGGGAGACUGCCGGGGUCAACUCGGAGGAAGGUGGGGACGACGUCAAAUCAUCAUGCCCCUUAUGUCUUGGGCUUCACGCAUGCUACAAUGGCCGGUACAAUGGGUUGCGAUACUGUGAGGUGGAGCUAAUCCCUAAAAGCCGGUCUCAGUUCGGAUCGAAGUCUGCAACUCGACUUCGUGAAGUUGGAGUCGCUAGUAAUCGCAGAUCAGCAACGCUGCGGUGAAUACGUUCCCGGGCCUUGUACACACCGCCCGUCAAGUCACGAAAGUGGGUAACACCCGAAGCCGGUGGCCUAACCCUUGUGGGGU
rnacentral:rRNA from 1 species